ACACAUGCAAGUCGAACGGUAGCACAGAGAGCUUGCUCUCGGGUGACGAGUGGCGGACGGGUGAGUAAUGUCUGGGAAACUGCCUGAUGGAGGGGGAUAACUACUGGAAACGGUAGCUAAUACCGCAUAAUGUCGCAAGACCAAAGAGGGGGACCUUCGGGCCUCUUGCCAUCAGAUGUGCCCAGAUGGGAUUAGCUAGUAGGUGGGGUAACGGCUCACCUAGGCGACGAUCCCUAGCUGGUCUGAGAGGAUGACCAGCCACACUGGAACUGAGACACGGUCCAGACUCCUACGGGAGGCAGCAGUGGGGAAUAUUGCACAAUGGGCGCAAGCCUGAUGCAGCCAUGCCGCGUGUAUGAAGAAGGCCUUCGGGUUGUAAAGUACUUUCAGCGGGGAGGAAGGUGUUGUGGUUAAUAACCGCAGCAAUUGACGUUACCCGCAGAAGAAGCACCGGCUAACUCCGUGCCAGCAGCCGCGGUAAUACGGAGGGUGCAAGCGUUAAUCGGAAUUACUGGGCGUAAAGCGCACGCAGGCGGUCUGUCAAGUCGGAUGUGAAAUCCCCGGGCUCAACCUGGGAACUGCAUUCGAAACUGGCAGGCUAGAGUCUUGUAGAGGGGGGUAGAAUUCCAGGUGUAGCGGUGAAAUGCGUAGAGAUCUGGAGGAAUACCGGUGGCGA
rnacentral:rRNA from 2 species